GUCUACAGCCAUGCUACCCUGAACAAGCUCGAUCCUGUCUGAUCUCGGAAGCCAAGCAGGGUAGGGCCUGGUUAGUACUUGGAUGGGAGACCACCUAGGAAGACCAGGUGCUGUAGGUG
rnacentral:rRNA from 1 species